rnacentral:lncRNA from 1 species
UCGCUCGCUCGCCAAUCAGUUCUAUUUCUUACCUCAAUUGUCUCGACAGCUAAAGGCGGUGUCUUCCAUCAACAGCAAAAUGAACGAAUUCGCAGUGAUAUAGACAGAAAUACCUUAACUGGAUCAUCGUUACUGAUUCCUUCCUGUCGAUAGAAAUGCUUCUCACUAGCAGUGAUGGGAGGCAAAUACCAAUUAGGGUCCAGCAAUAAA